rnacentral:rRNA from 1 species
AUCCUGGUCCAGGAUGAACGCUGGCGGCGUGGAUAAGGCAUGCAAGUCAAACGGAACAAUUUGCGAUUACAUCAAGAAUUGUUUAGUGGCGAACGAGUCAGUAACACUUUAGUACCUACCCUAGAGACGGGAAUAACUCCGCGAAAGCGGAGCUAAUACCCGAUAGUCCGAGCACAUAAUUUGCACUACGAAAGUUUUUGCGCUUCGCGCAGUACAAGUUAUGUGCUCGGUAAAUCCCGCAAGGGGCUCUGGGAGGGGCUUAAGUCCCAUCAGCUUGUUGGUAGGGUAAUGGCCUACCAAGGCUAUGACGGGUAGGGGGCGUGAGAGCGUGACCCUCGACGACGAGACUGAGAACGGCUCGUACACCUACGGGUGGCAGCAGUCGAGAAUAUUCGACAAUGGGCGAAAGCCUGAUCGAGCGACGCCGCGUGCAGGAAGAAGGGCUUCGGCCUGUAAACUGCUUUUAACUGGGAGGAACGUAAGUGACUGUACCAGUUGAAUAAGGAGUUGCUAACCUCGUGCCAGCAGCCGCGGUAAUACGAGGACUCCAAGCGUUAUCCGGAUUUAUUGGGCGUAAAGGGUCUCCAGGCGGUCCAGUUCGUCUUGUGUUAAAUCUCGCUGCUCAACGGCGGGGCUGCACGAGAUACGGCCGGACUCGAGGGAUGGAGAGGGGAUAGGAACUCACGGUGUAGGGGUGAAAUCCGUUGAUAUCGUGGGGAACACCAAAGGCGAAGGCAAGUCCCUGGCCAUUUCCUGACGCUCAUGAGACGAAAGCGUGGGGAGAGAAUAGGAUUAACUCGCUCAUUUGUGUGCGAUUGAGCUCGCCAAUAUGUUUUUCGACACGUGAAUUUUUUCCAGCGAAAAAAUUCACUAAGGGUCGGACAAGUUUUCGCGCCUUCGGCGCGAACCAUGCAAACUUGUCCUCCCAUUGUCUCAAAACAUAUCGGCUUCGCUUCGCACACAAAUUCGCUCGCCGGAGCAUGAAUGGCGAGCGAGAUGUUGGGUACAUCGAGCAUCUAGUCCCUUCCGGCAGUAAUGCCGGAAUGAAAACUUGUCCCGACGCACUGAUUAGAAAUAGUUAGUGAAGUCGGGAUCCGCCAAAGCCGCAAGGCGACGGCGGAGCUAUAUGCUGGAAAGUCCGAGUAUCCAACAGUACCGAAAGGUAAAAAUCUGUUGGUGCGGAUAAUCAGCA